ACCCAGCUGACGAGUCCCGAAUAGAACGAAACACGCGUCCUCGAU
rnacentral:hammerhead_ribozyme from 1 species